ACCAAUGAGCUCUCUCUCCCGAAUCUGGCGGAUACGACUCCCAGCAUGACAUACCAAAACAACUCAUAAAACAGCAUAAAAUAUGUUUUUGUUUUGGUUGAUAGGAUCCCGGACAGAUCAUUGUUGUGGACUGUCUGAGUUUUUAAAGAAAAGUGUCGGAGGGCGAAGGAUUGCGGCAACAAAAAAAUACGCACUGCUUUACGGUACCUGGUCCCCCGACAACGACCAACCAAGCGGCGGCGGACGUGGUACGGAGGACGCUUCUAAAAAAAAAAAAACGAAAACGAAACUAUUGGCACUACGCCCCCCGGGGCAUGGCCUUCCUCUAACGUAGGAUUUCUGCUCCAGCGCCUCUGACGAGACAGGAGAAACCGGGACCGACGUUUUACUUCACCAUCCGAUAGAAGCUCAGUGGAUAAGGCGGGAAUCGAACCCGCGUCUCAUAGCAUCAUCGGGAUCGGCAGCCGAAGCCGCUACCCCUGCGCCACGAGACCCACGGACGCUUCUAGAAACCUUAAAAAAGAGCACGCCAUCCGCUUCGUGGUCAUGGUCUGUCAGAGAACCUCAAGACGAACGUCGAGUACAUUAAGAUUGCCGGAACCCGGGCGGAUCGGCUAUCAACAACUUCGCCAACGGCAAACUCAUAAUUACGCACGCAGAUGCAGGUCGUCUGGGCCGCUUGGGACAACGUGUCCGAAAAUCUAAAAAUGCACGAGUUGCUGAGACUAGUGUUUCUGAGGCCACCGGAGUGGGCGGAAACAUAGAGGUUGCGGCGGUUAAGGGGUUACAUACAUGUAGAAAAUCACAAAAUGUCAUAUUACAGAUUUUUUUUUGAAUCCA